rnacentral:rRNA from 1 species
AUUGAACGCUGGCGGCAGGCCUAACACAUGCAAGUCGAGCGGAAACGAUCCUAGCUUGCUAGGAGGCGUCGAGCGGCGGACGGGUGAGUAACACGUGAGAAUCUGCCCAUUAGUGGGGGAUAACCUGGGGAAACCCAGGCUAAUACCGCAUAAUCUCUACGGAGGAAAGCAGGGGAUCUUCGGACCUUGUGCUGAUGGAUGAGCUCGCGUCGGAUUAGCUUGUUGGUGAGGUAAUGGCUCACCAAGGCGACGAUCCGUAGCUGGUCUUAGAGGAUGAUCAGCCACACCGGGACUGAGACACGGCCCGG